GCGGGCACCAUUCUUCAGAUAAAGGAAGCGCUAGAACUGUGCUGUGAACACGGUAUCCUUUGUGCCCAUUAUUACAGGCCAAAUCAGAUUAAGUCUGAGGCCGGUAACAUCAACAGUGACGACAAACCCAGCCUGCCUCUCUCCUUCCACACUGAGUCCUGAUUGUGACAGUGGAGCCCAGUUUGCACUGCAGGAUCCAGAGAUGGCAUCAGUGAAGCUGGAAGACUGCAGUCAAACACUGGAUAUGAAUGCCAACAUUAAAGAUGAAGAGGAGGAGAAAUCGGUUUCUCUUAGACAACUGGAAUUAAGUCUGAGGCCGGUAACAUCCACAGUGAGGACAAACGCAGGCCUCUUCUCUCCUUCCACACUGAGUCCAAACCUACAUUCACUGGGUCCUGAUUGUGACACUGGAGACCAGUUUGCACUGCAGAAUCCAGAGAUGGCAUCAGUGAAGCUGGAAGACUGCAGUCAAACAAUGGAGCUGAAUGUCAACAUUAAAGAUGAAUAAGAUAAGAUUGUGAAAUCUCUUUCUCAUGGUAAGAGAAUGCCAAUAUUGUGCAAUGCUGUCAACAGGGCAAAUGGUGGCUAUUUGAAGAAUCUCAGUUAUAAUGUAUUUUGAAUUGUUUAACACCUUUUUGUUUACUACAUGAUUCCAUGUGUGUUAUUUCAUAGUUUUGAUGUCUUCACUAUUAUACAAUGUAGAAAAUAGUCAAAUAAAGAAAAACCCUUGAAUGA